rnacentral:rRNA from 1 species
CGCGUGCAGGAUGAAGGCCUUCGGGUUGUAAACUGCUUUUGUACGGAACGAAAAGACUCUGGUUAAUACCUGGGGUCCAUGACGGUACCGUACGAAUAAGCACCGGCUAACUACGUGCCGGUGCCGCGGUAAUACGUAGGGUGCAAGCGUUAAUCGGAAUUACUGGGCGUAAAGCGUGCGCAGGCGGUUAUGUAAGACAGAUGUGAAAUCCCCGGGCUCAACCUGGGAACUGCAUUUGUGACUGCAAAACUGGAGUACGGGGGAGGGGGAUGGAAUUCCCCGUGUAGCAGUGAAAUGCGUAUAUCUGCGGAGGAACACCGAUGGCGAACGCAAUCCCCUGGACCUGUACUGACGCUCAUGCCCGAAAGCGUGGGGAGCAUACUCGAUUACAUACCCUGGUAGUCCACGCCCUAAACGAUGUCCACUGGUUGUUGGGUCUUCACUGACUCAUUAACUAACCUGACGCGUGAAUUUGACCGCCUGGGGAGUACUGCCGCGAGGUUGAAACUCACAGGAAUUGACGGGGACCCGCACAAUCAGUGGAUGAUGUGGUUUAAUUCCAUGCCACGGCUAGAACCUUACCCAACUCUGACAUGUAU